GUUAGGAAUAUUGGACAAUGGGCGCAAGCCUGAUCCAGCCAUGCCGCGUGAACGAUGAAGGCCUUCGGGUUGUAAAGUUCUUUAGCCGAUGAUUAUAAUGACUGUAGUCGGAAAAUAAGCCCCGGCUAACUUCGUGCCAGCAGCCGCGGUAAUACGAAGGGGGCGAGCGUUAUUCGGAAUCACUGGGCGUAAAGCGUGCGUAGGCGGUCUCGUAAGUUAGGAGUGAAAGCCCGGGGCUCAACCUUGGAAUUGCUCUUAAUACUGCAAGGCUAGAAUCUCGGAGAGGAUAGCGGAAUUUCCAGUGUAGCAGUGAAAUGCGUAGAUAUUGGAAGGAACACCAGUGGCGUAAGCGGCUAUCUGGACGAGUAUUGACGCUGAGGCACGAAAGCGUGGGGAUCAAACAGGAUUAGAAACCCCAGUAGUCC
rnacentral:rRNA from 1 species